rnacentral:lncRNA from 1 species
AUGCAGGGACUCAGAGAGCCUUGCCAUAGGACAAAAAGCAACGAGCCGUGGGAGCGCUGUGAGAUGCGCCGGGGCCGGAGGAGACGGCGCCCGCCCUCUGCCGGCAGCAGCCCGCCGAGCCCAGGGACGCACAGGAGGGAGUGCAGUCACGGCCACGCAACAGCCCGAGCCGGGAGGGACCCACAGAGGAGACCGAGACCAUCUCCUGACUCCACACUACGCCGCCCAAAACUCGGCAGCGGGGCUUUCAGUGUUUGUGUUGCGGGAUUUCGGACAAUUCAGUGCGGAGACCAAAAGGAUCAAACAUUUUUGCUUGUUUGUUUCAGGCAUGUGAGCCUGCAGCUCCAGCAGCAUCCUACUGCACAAGUUACAAGCUCAGCAUUUACAGGAGAGUGCUCAAUAUUAACACAGAGCAUCCAGUAUCCAGCAGGAGCACAGGUACGGAACUUGACCUGAAUGUUAGCAAAACUAUUUGAAAUGCUCUUUUGGUUCAAGACUGUCCUUUUCAGACAUCAUGAGAAGCCCAGCUGUUAUAAAGAGCAGUGAGGGCAACAUUAAUUGCCAUACAUUUAUUAAGCAAGAGGGAGCAUGUGCAGCCAAAUAUGUGUCAUGAACAGGAUCUCGUGCUGCUUCCCAGUGAUUCAGCACAGAUCUGAAGGGUUGGUUAUCACGAGGUGAAACACAGUUUAAAUCUUUUCCUCUGGACUUGGGGGGGGAGAGGGGGGUGGGGUUGUACUUUGACCAUAGCCUUGCUAAUACAACACCCAGAAGGAAAAUUUAGCACACUGGUAUAGCAUGUGAGCUUGGGUGGUAUUUGGAAGAUAUGGUUCCCUAAAAGAGUAAACUACACAGUGAUCUGUGAUCCUGGAAGUGGAAACACAGUCAGCUUUUUACAUAGAUUUUGCUUGCUAUGAAAGAAACUUUCCUCGGAUCACGCUGCCACCACAAACAGUCAUUCCCAGCAUGAAGAACAAAACUCAGAAAUUUCAACUGGGAAUGAUGUUGUGUUGUUCUUGAAAUGUGGGGAGUUUCAUUUGCAGACCCACAGCAUCACAUAAAGCAAUCAUAGAGGAAGUAAUUGCCUACAGAGAUAAAACUGCACUGUUUGAUGCCUUGUGGUAUGUAUGUCAGUGAAGUAAGGGGUACAUAUCCCACCUGCUUUUUUGAUUGCAAUAUGCUGGGCUCUGUCAUAAAAUAAGAACAGCAUGGCAGAGCCUGAGGAAAUGGUAAAACCAAAAGCAGCUAUGUGGUAUGCCUUCAGUGACAGGCAUGCCACAUGCUGCCCAGCACUGCUAACAGCCAGGGGAGGAGCUUGCAAAAUGUAGCUUUUGCUCAAGUACUUCAUGCUGCUUCAGGUGUGUUUCAGUAGCAGAGAGUACUGGAUCAAAUGUGAACACCCGAUGUGGAACCGCUCCCUUAGAAAUACUUGUGAAGUGAGUGCUUCCUCAGGUGAGUUGCCCCAAAGUGACAGUAUCUGCUGAGGGACAUGAUGCUCAGGGCAGGAAUGGGUUACUGAAUCUGUAGUCAUCAACCCAUGGACAAGAUUUCCCUGCUUGUUCAAACCAGCACUGUUCCCACCUAACACAGGAUGCCUUACUACCUCUGCUCCAGUCAUGGUCCAAAUUUCCCAGUUCUAUGUAAGGGGGAUCAGAAAAUCAUUGCUUUUACGCAGUGCCUGCUGCAGUGUAUCACUUCACCUGAGCUGUGCCACUGUAACAACAGAAAAUGUAAGUUCCAAUCCAUUGAACAUUGUAAUCAGAAUUAAUUUUUGUAUACACUGCUAUGAGAGAAUCUCAAGAAAACAUCUAGAGAAAAUCUGAUAACUUACACUACUAUUCACAAUGUUAAAUAUGAAAGCUGAUAGGGUUUUUCCAAUCCAACCUACCUUCUACUUGAUUCUUUUGCAAUUCCAGAUGCUUGGGCAAUAAAAACCCACUGGAGACAAAUGUACCA